AUGAGUACACUUUAAAUCCUUUAACAAGGAUCCAUUGGAGGGCAAGUCUGGUGCCAGCAGCCGCGGUAAUUCCAGCUCCAAUAGCGUAUAUUAAAGCUGUUGCGGUUAAAAAGCUCGUAAUUGGUUCUGUGUGACAUGCUGUUGGUUCACCGCCUGUCGGUGUAACUGACAUGUCGUGGGACGUCCUGUUGGUGGUAGUUAAACUGGCCAACUUUACAGAGCCUGUCUCUGUAUAUUGUUGGUGAUGUUUAAUUGCCGAUUAAACCUGCCGCGGUGCUCUUUACUGAGUGUCGAGGGAGGCCGACAUGUUUACUUUGAACAAAUUAGAGUGAUUAAAGCAGGCAAAUAUUUGCCUGAAUAGUGGUGCAUGGAAUAAUGGAAUAAGACUUUGGUUCUAAUUUGUUGGUUUUUCGGAAUCCAAGGUAAUGAUCAAUAUGGACGGUCGGGGGCAUUCGUAUUGCGACGUUAGAGGUGAAAUUCUUGGAUCGUCGCAAGACGAACUAGAGCGAAAGCAUUUGCCAAGUAUGUCUUAAUUGAUCAAGAACGAAAGUUAGAGGUUCGAAGGCGAUCAGAUACCGCCCUAGUUCUAACCAUAAACGAUGUCAGCCAGCAAUCCGCCGAGUUUUUUUCAUGACUCGACGGGCGGCUUCAGGGAAACCAAAGCUUUUGGGUUCCGGGGGAAGUAUGGUUGCAAAGCUGAAACUUAAAGGAAUUGACGGAAGGGCACCACCAGGAGUGGAGCCUGCGGCUUAAUUUGACUCAACACGGGAAACCUCACCAGGCCC
rnacentral:rRNA from 1 species